rnacentral:misc_RNA from 1 species
UUCGAUCACCGGCUCAGAUUGAACGCUGGCAGGAUCGCACAUGCAAGUCGAACGGCAGCACGGACUUCAGUCUGGUGGCGAGUGGCGAACGGGUGAGUAAUGUAUCGGAACGUGCUAGUAGCGGGGGAUAACUACGCGAAAGCGUAGCUAAUACCGCAUGCGCCCUUCGGGGGAAAGCGGGGGACCUUCAGGCCUCGCACUAUUAGAGCCCGGCCGAUAUCGGAUUAGCUAGUUGGUGGGGUAACGGCUCACCAAGGCGACGAUCCGUAGCUGGUUUGAAGGACGACCAGCCACACUGGGACUGAGACACGGCCCAGACUCCUACGGGAGGCAGCGGUGGGGAAUUUUGAACAAUGGGGGAAACCCUGAUCAGCCAUCCGCGUGUGCGAUGAAGGCCUUCGGGUUCAUAAAGCGCUUUUUGGCGGGAAGAAACGGCACGGGAUAUUACCCGUACA